rnacentral:rRNA from 1 species
UACCAGCACCCCGAGUGGUCGGGACGAUUAUUGGGCCUAAAGCAUCCGUAGCCGGUUCUACAAGUCUUCCGUUAAAUCCACCUGCUCAACAGUUGGGCUGCGGAGGAUACUAUAGAGCUAGGAGGCGGGAGAGGCAAGCGGUACUUAGUGGGUAGGGGUAAAAUCCGUUGAUCCAUUGAAGAACACCAGUGGCGAAGGCGGCUCACUGGACUGGUAUUGACGCUGAGGUGCGAAAGCGUGGGGAGCAAACAGG